CAGCGGCAGCUACACAUGCAAGUCGAGCGGAAACGAUGGAGCUUGCUCCAGGCGUCGAGCGCGGACGGGUGAGUAAUGCAUAGGAAUCUGCCCGGUAGUGGGGGAUAACCUGGGGAAACCCAGGCUAAUACCGCAUACGUCCUACGGGAGAAAGCAGGGGAUCUUCGGACCUUGCGCUAUCGGAUGAGCCUAUGUCGGAUUAGCUUGUUGGUGAGGUAAUGGCUCACCAAGGCGACGAUCCGUAGCUGGUCUGAGAGGAUGAUCAGCCACAUCGGGACUGAGACACGGCCCGAACUCCUACGGGAGGCAGCAGUGGGGAAUAUUGGACAAUGGGCGAAAGCCUGAUCCAGCCAUGCCGCGUGUGUGAAGAAGGCUUUCGGGUUGUAAAGCACUUUCAGUGAGGAAGAAGGCCUUGGGGCUAAUACCCCCGAGGAAGGACAUCACUCACAGAAGAAGCACCGGCUAACUCCGUGCCAGCAGCCGCGGUAAUACGGAGGGUGCGAGCGUUAAUCGGAAUUACUGGGCGUAAAGCGCGCGUAGGCGGCGUGAUAAGCCGGUUGUGAAAGCCCCGGGCUCAACCUGGGAACGGCAUCCGGAAC
rnacentral:rRNA from 1 species